rnacentral:misc_RNA from 1 species
GUAUGAGCGGCAGCAUUGAGCGCCGUGCGCGUCGCGGCGGCGGCCCCGUCGACCAAAAGUUAUCACGUUGCUCGUGCGCCAUUUGCAGCGACCGGCCGUGGUGGAUGUGGUGGAACAUACGAACGGAGUAAAUAUAAGUCAUCGCCGAGAAGUUCGGGAGUGAUGGCGGAAGGUAAUGGCGGUGGUGACCCAGGGUCACAAAUAGACGGCGAAAGAACAGAAGACUACCAGAAACUAAUAAAUUAUGGCCUGAAUGAAAAAGUUGCUGCAAAACUAGAUGAAAUCUACAAACAGGGCAAACUAAGGCAUGAACAUCCUAGAGCUGUGUAUUCCCUGCCCCCUCAAGCAGUAGUGCUGAAGCCCGUGUGGCCCAGCGAUGGUAGGGAGGCCUUGUGUGGCAGUCACUGGGUGGUGUUGCAGGACCUGGACGAGCGUGCACUGGAUGCCCUGAAGGAAUUCCCAGUUGAGGGGGCCGUCACAGUCCUUAAACAGUUCCUGGAGUCCAACCUGGAGCAUGUGUCUAACAAGUCCGCCUACCUCUGUGGGGUCAUGAAGACCUACCGGCAGAGAAAACAGUAUAACACAGACAGUAUGGCAGUCAAUCCGGGGAAAGGUCCAAAUGAAGACAACCUGAAAGCAAUUCUUGAGCGCACUGGCUACACUCUAGAUGUGACCACAGGUCAGCGAAAAUAUGGAGGUCCACCGCCAAACUGGGAAGGGCCCCCACCUGGCCCAGGAUGUGAGGUAUUCUGUGGCAAGAUUCCAAAGGAGUUGUAUGAGGAUGAGUUGAUCCCAUUAUUUGAAAAAUGUGGUGAGAUCUGGGACCUGCGUCUCAUGAUGGAUCCCAUGACAGGCCAAAAUAGAGGAUAUGCCUUCAUCACUUUCACAACUCGCACAGCGGCUUGUGAAGCUGUCCGGCAGCUGAAUGAAUAUGAAAUUCAGCGCGGCAAAAAAUUAGGGGUCACUAUUUCAUACAACAAUCAUCGAUUGUUCGUAGGAAAUAUCCCCAAGAACAGGGAGCGACUUGAGUUAUAUGAGGAGUUUGCAAAGCACGCACCUGGUCUGGUUGAAGUGAUAAUUUAUAGUUCUCCUGAUGACAAAAAGAAGAACAGAGGAUUCUGUUUCCUGGAAUAUGAGUCCCAUAAGGCUGCCUCCUUGGCUAAGCGGCGGUUAAGUUCAGGACGCUUCAAGGUGUGGGGGUGUGAAAUCAUUGUGGACUGGGCUGACCCUCAGGAGGAGCCAGACGAAGACACCAUGUCCAAGGUCAAAGUUUUGUAUGUCAGAAAUCUUACUCAGGUAACAACAGAAGAGAUGCUGAAGGAAAAGUUUGAUGAGUUUGGGAAGGUGGAGCGUGUCAAGAAGAUAAAAGAUUAUGCAUUCGUCCACUUUGAGGAGAGAGACGAGGCAGUCAAGGCAAUGGGUGCCUUACAAGGGAAAGACUUAGGUGGUGCCUCAAUGGAAAUUUCCUUGGCAAAGCCACCGUCAGACAAGAAAAAGAAGGAAGAGGUUCUUCGCAACAGAGAGAAACGGCUUAUGCAGAUGCUUGCACAGAGAGGAAUGCCUGUGCCCCCGGCCAUGCUGCGUGGAGGGAGGGGAGGGGGCCGCGGGGGCGGUCGCAGUGAUUAUGAACACAUCUCAGAAGUGAGUUCUCCAUGCGAGCGUGGACAUAACGAGGUUAGCGGACGUGACUGCCCAGUGCGCCGAGAAGGAAGAGAAGCAGGAGGAAAGUGAGGGAAUUAUCGUAGAUGAGAAAUAAGGAAAUGACCUGGUCUGUGACGUACUUCUGUCUCCUGCCUCCGUGACCUAGCGCACGUCAACACACACACUCCAUAUGAUUAGGUGAUGAAGACAACGGCGUGAGCGCUACGUCCCCUAGGCACUCAUAACAGAGGACGCCCCGUCAAGAGGCACGCAGCCAGCUCCAAAUUGCGGGGGACGCAUGCUCACCACGAAGCACGUGUGUCUGGUGUGCUUAUGGUGCCACGUGCUUCGUGUGUGACAAGGUGACGUAAUAUUCUUCCUCUUCGCGCACCUCGUCUCCUCCCCGCCUCCUUCCUUCCCUGCCAGCGUUGGGGAGACCCGGGAGUGUCUUCUGGCUAAAGCUCUUUGUGAGUUUUAGCUUGGUAGCGUGCGUAGAGGCAGAGGCCGGGAAAUGGCAAAUAAGGGGGAGGGGGGUCACAUAUAUACCGCGCGCCCUAAACUUGGCGCUCAAAACGGGGGUAGUGGUAGCGGCAAACGGACCAGUGCAACGCGAGUCGUGUGACACCCGAGUCUCAUUCGAGCUACGAGUGUGUGUGGACGUGCAGCGCCACUAACCGCGCCGCCCAGUGACAGUGUGUGAGGGAAGAGUUGACAGGGCAAGGCGUCCCUUCUCAAACAGCAGCCGCCAUGGAUCACGACAGAGGCAGCACGCAGCAUGUCGCCUUCCACAUGGAGGACAUAGCCAACGUUAUCAAAGAAGAGGAAGAGGAAGAGGUAGAAAA